ensembl:lncRNA novel transcript, antisense to LRRK1
GGUACGGGCCUGGUCCCAAGCUGCGUAGCCUCGCUGUGGGGCCAUGGUCAUAAAUGACUCUAAGGUUCAUUUCAUACCUGUUUUUUUUUUUUUUAAAUGAAACUGAAGAAGGGUGAAGAGAAGAGUUCAUGUAUUUUGCGACCAUCCAGAAAUGGGCAAACUGGAAUUGGAUGAUGACAGUCACAUUUUAACAAAGCAACACCAGUAAAGGCUUCUUGUGCAUUUAGUGAGGGCGCCUAUGCACAGACAGGCCCCUCAGGGUGGAUGAAACCAGAGCUGGCUGAGCCGUGCCUGAAUCCUGUGGGCGGAGGAGCCCGGAAAAGCCAGGGAGCUGCCCCCCACUGAGGGGCAGCUUCUCAAAGGAGGGGACAAGGCCCCGGGUCUUGAGAACUGAAUCGGAGGCCGUCUGGGAAGAGAGUACAUCCCAUCAGGAAGGCGUGCUCCAUCGCUGUGUUUUGGAAUAACUUCUCUUUUUUUCUGAGGCAGGGUCUCACUCUGUCACCCAGGCUGGAGUGCAGUGGCACAAUCACCACCCACUGCAGUGGCAAACUCCUGGGUUCAAGUAAUCCUCCUGCCUCAGCCUCCUGAGUAGCAGGGACUACAGGUGCUCGCCACCAUUCCCAGCUAAUUUUUGUUAUUUAUUUAUUUUUGUAGAGACAAAGUUUCACCAUGUUUCCUAGACUGGUCUCAAACUCCUGAACUCAAAAGAUCCACCUGCCUCAGCCUCCUAAAGUGCUGGGGUUACAGGCAUGAGCCACAAGGCCUGGUCAGAAAAACUUCCUUACAGCAUCAUUUCUUAGAGUACGUCUGUGUCACAACCCUCAGUCCGAGUGGCAUAAAACCUGACGCAAACUCACAAAGACUGACCUAAGAGAAACUGCGAAGUCUGUUCCGUUUAUCUUAUUAUGUCUCAAGCUCAUUCCUCACUCUACCCCAGGCAUCCUCCCCAAAGGUCACACUCCAGAUGCCGUCUUUACUACCGACUGUGCGCCUCCCACCCACCCCACGGCAAGCACGUCUUGUCUGGCCACCGCCUCCUAGUUUUUCGGCUCAUCCCACCUGAAACCAUAACUCUUGAGUUUUUUUUUUAACUCUGGCAAUACCUAGGAUCCUUUAGUACUUUGCAUUGUGCUCCCUGAAUUUGUGGCCUCACUUAGGUUCCUUGGUCCAUCUCUGUAUCACUCCCUUGAAAACACCCCAAUGCCUCUGCCCCUCUCUCCCUUUGGCAAA